AUGAACGCUAGCGACAGGCUUAACACAUGCAAGUCGAGGGGCAGCACAGGUAGCAAUACCGGGUGGCGACCGGCGCACGGGUGAGUAACGCGUAUGCAACUUGCCUAUCAGAGGGGGAUAACCCGGCGAAAGUCGGACUAAUACCGCAUGAAGCAGGGAUCCCGCAUGGGAAUAUUUGCUAAAGAUUCAUCGCUGAUAGAUAGGCAUGCGUUCCAUUAGGCAGUUGGCGGGGUAACGGCCCACCAAACCGACGAUGGAUAGGGGUUCUGAGAGGAAGGUCCCCCACAUUGGUACUGAGACACGGACCAAACUCCUAUGGGAGGCAGCAGUGAGGAAUAUUGGUCAAUGGCCGAGAGGCUGAACCAGCCAAGUCGCGUGAGGGAUGAAGGUUCUAUGGAUCGUAAACCUCUUUUAUAAGGGAAUAAAGUGCGGGACGUGUCCCGUUUUGUAUGUACCUUAUGAAUAAGGAUCGGCUAACUCCGUGCCAGCAGCCGCGGUAAGACGGAGGAUCCGAGCGUUAUCCGGAUUUAUUGGGUUUAAAGGGUGCGUAGGCGGCCUUUUAAGUCAGCGGUGAAAGUCUGUGGCUCAACCAUAGAAUUGCCGUUGAAACUGUGGGGCUUGAGUAUGUUUGAGGCAGGCGGAAUGCGUGGUGUAGCGGUGAAAUGCAUAGAUAUCACGCAGAACCCCGAUUGCGAAGGCAGCCUGCCAAGCCAUUACUGACGCUGAUGCACGAAAGCGUGGGGAUCAAACAGGAUUAGAUACCCUGGUAGUCCACGCAGUAAACGAUGAUCACUAGCUGUUUGCGAUAACCUGUAAGCGGUACAGCGAAAGCGUUAAGUGAUCCACCUGGGGAGUACGCCGGCAACGGUGAAACUCAAAGGAAUUGACGGGGGCCCGCACAAGCGGAGGAACAUGUGGUUUAAUUCGAUGAUACGCGAGGAACCUUACCCGGGUUUGAACGCAUUCGGACCGAGGUGGAAACACCUUUUCUAGCAAUAGCCGUUUGCGAGGUGCUGCAUGGUUGUCGUCAGCUCGUGCCGUGAGGUGUCGGCUUAAGUGCCAUAACGAGCGCAACCCUUGCCACUAGUUACUAACAGGUGAUGCUGAGGACUCUGGUGGGACUGCCAGCGUAAGCUGCGAGGAAGGCGGGGAUGACGUCAAAUCAGCACGGCCCUUACAUCCGGGGCGACACACGUGUUACAAUGGCGUGGACAAAGGGAGGCCACCUGGCGACAGGGAGCGAAUCCCCAAACCACGUCUCAGUUCGGAUCGGAGUCUGCAACCCGACUCCGUGAAGCUGGAUUCGCUAGUAAUCGCGCAUCAGCCAUGGCGCGGUGAAUACGUUCCCGGGCCUUGUACACACCGCCCGUCAAGCCAUGGGAGCCGGGGGUACCUGAAGUCCGUAACCGCGAGGAUCGGCCUAGGGUAAAACUGGUGACUGGGGCU
rnacentral:rRNA from 1 species